rnacentral:lncRNA from 1 species
GGUUAUUCAAGUACCCUAGGAUGAUGUCAAGAGUUCAGUAGAUAAAUGAGCAACAAAUAUGAACCAGCUGAACUCAACUGGAAAAUACAAAGCAAACUUUAAAAGUGUUAGAUUACCUACUAAUAGUAAUUAAGGAAGUACAAAUUAAAAUUUUAAUGUGAAUGUGUUUGCCUUUGAGUUACAAAAGUUGUAAAAUUAUAAUGAGAAAGCUUUAUGAAGGUAAGACUAAGGAAAUUGUUUUAUGUAUGGUUCCUACUAUUAUAAACAAGGUUUUUUAAAGAUAGGUUGGUGAUAAGGAUAGAAAUCUCAAGAGUAGGAAUUCUUCUCAAAUAAUUUUCUUUUUUUAAAGAGACUUUAUUUUUAAAUAGUAACUGUGUCAGAAGACAAAUGUAAGUUAGGGGGAAAUAUGUGGAAUUAAAAACCCAGGCAAAAGGAUAAUCUC